rnacentral:rRNA from 1 species
AUUGAACGCUGGCGGCAGGCCUAACACAUGCAAGUCGAGCGGAUGCAGGGAGCUUGCUCCUGGAUUCAGCGGCGGACGGGUGAGUAAUGGCUAGGAAUCUGCCUGGUCGUGGGGGAUAACGUCCGGAAACGGGCACUAAUACCGCAUACGUCCUGAGGGAGAAAGUGGGGGAUCUUCGGAUCUCACGCUAUCAGAUGAGCCUAGGUCGGAUUAGCUAGUUGGUGGGGUAAAGGCCUACCCAGGCGACGAUCCGUAACUGGUCUGAGAGGAUGAUCAGUCACACUGGAACUGAGACACGGUCCAGACUCCUACGGGAGGCAGCAGUGGGGAAUAUUGGACAAUGGGCGAAAGCCUGAUCCAGCCAUGCCGCGUGUGUGAAGAAGGUCUUCGGAUUGUAAAGCACUUUAAGUUGGGAGGAAGGGCAGUAAGUUAAUACCUUGCUGUUUUGACGUUACCAACAGAAUAAGCACCGGCUAACUUCGUG